rnacentral:rRNA from 1 species
UACGAAGGGGGCGAGCGUUGUUCGGAUUUACUGGGCGUAAAGGGCGCGUAGGCGGCCCUCCUAGUCGCGUGUGAAAGCCCCGGGCUCAACCUGGGAACUGCGUUUGAAACUACAAGGCUAGAGUGUAGCAGAGGGGGGUAGAAUUCCACGUGUAGCAGUGAAAUGCGUAGAGAUGUAGAGGAAUACCAAUGGCGAAGGCAGCCCCCUGGGUUAACACUGACGCUCAUGCACGAAAGCGUGGGGAGCAAACAGG